AUUAGGCUCAAGAAAAACGCGGUGCGUGAGAUACACGGUCAACACUACAAUCCUAUCACAUUACAUAUUUAGAUUAGACAUGAAAACAAAGUUGCAUUUUCUACCGCACACACCCAUAGCGUAGCAAUAGCAUAUCUAUGGCUUCUACUUGUUCUUCCUCUUUUUCCGUUACCAAAAAAUAUGAUGUUUUCAUCAGCUUUAGAGGAGAGGAUACUCGCGCUGACUUCACUAGCCAUCUUCAUGCUGCUCUGCGCAGAAACAACAUCGAUACAUACAUAGACUACAGGAUCCACAAAGGAGACGAGAUCUGGGUAGAAAUCAUGAAAGCAAUCAAAGAGUCCACUCUCUUCUUGGUUAUUUUCUCAGAGAACUAUGCGUCUUCUAGUUGGUGCUUGAAUGAACUCAUCCAACUAAUGGAAUACAAGAAACAUGAAGAUGUUGAUGUUAUUCCGGUGUUCUACAAAAUAGAUCCAUCUGAGGUACGCAAACAAAGUGGGAGUUAUCACAUGGCAUUCGCAAAACACGAGAAGGAUAGAAAGGUGACGGAGGACAAGAUGCAAAAGUGGAAGAACGCUCUCUAUGAAGCAGCCAAUUUAUCAGGCUUCCUUUCUGAUGCGUACAGGACUGAAUCUAACAUGAUUGAAGACAUUAUCAAAGUUAUUUUGCAAAAACUAAAUCAUAAGUACCCAAAUGACUUUAGAGGCCAGUUCGUAUCUGAUGAAAACUAUGCAAGCAUUGAAUCAUUACUGAAAAUUGAUUCAGAGGAAGUUCGAGUCAUUGGAAUUUGGGGCAUGGGAGGUAUUGGUAAAACAACUAUUGCUGAGGUUAUUUUUCAUAAGAUUUCAUCUCGGUAUGAAGGCAGUAGCUUCUUAAAAAAUGUGGCAGAGGAAUCAAAAAGGCAUGGCCUAAAUUACAUAUGCAAAGAACUUCUUUCUAAGUUACUAAGGGAAGAUCUUCAUAUUGACACUCCUAAGGUGAUACCCUCUAUCAUUACAAGAAGACUCAAGCGUAAGAAAGUUCUUAUCGUACUGGAUGAUGUGAAUACCUCGGAACUUCUUGAAAAUUUGGUUGGAGUGGGCCGUGACUGGCUUGGAGCUGGUAGCAGAGUCAUUGUGACAACCAGAGAUAAGCAUGUAAUUAUGGGUGAAGUUGUUGACAAAAUUCAUGAAGUCAAGAAAAUGAACUUUCAAAACUCCCUGGAACUUUUCAGCUUAAAUGCCUUUGGCAAAACCUAUCCUCAAAAGGGGUACGAGGAAUUAUCAAAAAGAGCAAUGGGUUAUGCCAAAGGAAUCCCUUUAGCUUUGAAAGUUUUGGGAUCAUUGCUCCGUUCUAGAAGUGAAAAUGAAUGGGAUAGUGCACUAAGUAAAUUAAAGAAAAUUCCCAAUCCAGAAAUUCAGGCAGUGUUCAGAUUGAGUUAUGAAGGAUUAGAUGAUGAUGAGAAAAACAUUUUUCUUGACAUAACUUGUUUUUUUAAAGGGCAAAGAAGAGACCGUGUAACAAAAAUAUUAAAUGACUGCAAUUUUUCUGCAGACAUAGGGAUAAGAAGUCUUUUAGACAAAGCUCUUAUCACUAUUACAUCAGAUAGUAAUUGCAUAGAUAUGCAUGAUCUGAUACGAGAAAUGGGUAGAGAAGUUGUUCGUGAAGAAUCCAUGAAAAACCCUGGGCAACGCAGUAGAUUGUGGGAUCCUGAGGAAGUCAUUGAUAUAUUGACAAAUAAUGGAGGAACUGAUACAGUUGAAGGAAUAUGGUUAGAUAUGACUCAAAUUUCAUAUAUAAAUUUAAGCUCCAAAGCAUUCAGAAAGAUGCCAAACAUGAGAUUACUUGCUUUCCAAUCCCCCAAAGGAGAAUUUGAGAGAAUUAAUUCAGUGUACCUUCCAAAGGGUCUUGAAUUCUUACCUAAAAAUUUAAGAUAUUUGGGGUGGAAUGGAUAUCCAUUAGAAUCUCUACCAUCAAGUUUUUGCCCUGAGAAGCUUGUUGAGCUUUCUAUGCCAUAUAGCAAUCUGGAAAAACUUUGGCAUGGAGUACAGAAUUUGCCAAAUUUAGAGAGAAUUGACCUUCAUGGCUCCAAGCACCUUAUGGAGUGUCCAAAGUUGUCUCAUGCACCAAAUCUUAAAUAUGUAAGUAUGCGUGGUUGUGAAAGCUUGCCUUAUGUUGAUGAAUCAAUUUGCUCUCUCCCGAAGCUUGAAAUUUUAAAUGUGAGCGGGUGCUCAUCGCUUAAGAGCCUUAGCAGCAACACUUGGCCACAAUCUCUUCGAGCGUUGUUUUUAGUACAAUCAGGUUUGAAUGAACUGCCCCCAUCAAUUUUGCAUAUCAAGAAUCUCAAUAUGUUUUCUUUUUUAAUUAAUAAUGGUCUUGCGGAUCUUCCUGAAAACUUUACGGAUCAAAUCUCGCUUUCUGAGUCAAGGGAACACAAAUGCGAUGCUUUCUUCACCUUACAUAAGUUAAUGACUAACUCUGGCUUCCAGUCAGUAAAACGUCUAGUAUUUUAUCGAAGCUUGUGUGAAAUCCCAGACAACAUCUCCUUGUUAUCAUCAUUGAAAAACUUAUGCUUAUGUUAUUGUGCCAUCAUAAGGUUACCCGAAAGCAUUAAGGAUCUUCCAAAACUAAAAGUUCUUGAAGUUGGUGAAUGCAAAAAACUUCAACAUAUACCUGCACUACCACGAUCCCUUCAGUUCUUCCUUGUUUGGAACUGCCAAUCUCUUCAGACAGUGUUAAGUUCAACAAUUGAAUCAUCCAAAAGACCCAACUGUGUUUUCCUGCUCCCUAACUGUAUAAAAUUGGAUGCACAUUCAUUUGAUGCAAUUUUGAAAGAUGCCAUUGUUAGGAUUGAACUUGGAUCAAAACCAUUGCCAGCAACAGAAUUAGAAAAUGAGGAUGCAUCCUUGGAGAAUGAGGAUGGUGAUUUUUAUUAUUUUCAAUUAGCAAGAAAUGGUAAGAUUUGCUACUGUUUACCAGCUAGAAGUGGCAAAGUUCGAGAUUGGUUCCAUUGCCACUUUACACAAGCUUUGGUCACUGUUGAACUUCCCCCUAAUUUGCUGGGUUUUAUUUUCUACUUUGUUGUUUCUCAAGUCCAAUCAUGCAACAUUGGUUGCUAUGGAAGUAUUGGAUGUGAAUGCUACUUGGAGACUAGCCGGGAUGAAAGGAAGAAUAUAUCAAGUUUCUUUGUACAAGAAAAUAUCUUGUCAUGUCUCGAUCCUCCGUUUGGAUUUACGGAAGAUCACGUAUUUAUAUGGUAUGAUGAACAAUUUUGCAAGCAGGUAAUUGAAAUAAUUAAAGAGAGGAAAGCCAUUAAUGAUAAGAGCACCACUCAUCAUCCAAAGCUUACAUUUAAAUUCUUUGUUCAAACCGAAAAUAACAACGAUGAAGUGGUUAUAAAAGAGUGUGGGUUUCGUUGGAUGUAUUCCUUUGAAGAAGGAGGAUGCAAAUACAAGGAAAGCAGGGAAAUUCAUGAAGUAGAACCCAGUGUUGUCCAAAAUAAAGUCAAGGAAUCUGAGUCUAAUGAGCAAGAAACAUUUCCUCCAACAAAAGAAUUUAAGCAAUGUGUCUUCAGAACUUCAAACUUUGAAGCAGAAGAAACAGAAGACCUGAGUUGUCUUCUUGAAGAACUCUUGCAUAUUGGAUUUGGUGGAGACCUCAUGUAACAAGAUGAAAUUGUGGUGCCACUCUGUUGCAAUAUGAAGAUGUACAAGCAAAAGGAUGGAGAGACAUAGGUGGUUGAUUGUGACCUUUUUCGGGAUUGCAAAGUAGUGGGGCACGAGAUUCAUGAAGGAGUAAGGGGUUUGGUGGGCUAGUAAAGGGAAGAGAGUGUUGAUGGUCUGACAUGGAAAUUUAGGCAUGGAAGUGUGCCUAGAUCUUUGCAACCAUAAUACUACACUUUCUCCCAUGGUUAGAGACACAGUAAGAACUCUCUUUCUCCUUAUGUGUUUUUAUCUUUUUUUCUCUUUAUUUUUCCACGUCAAAGGUAAUGCAAAGUUGUGUAUGUUGGAUAACAUUUUACAAGUCCAUCGUGUUUUGGAAUCACUUAUUUAAGAUGAAUAAAGCUAAUUUAGUGUAAUGAUCAUGGAAUCAACCACUAUCAUAAUUUUAUUAGAAAUGAAAUUUCUACAAUUUUCAAUUCCUGAAUUCAUUAUGAACAAGAACAUCUCUAUUUAUUUAUGCUACUUUACACAUGUACCAUACACUUCCAUUAGACCAAGCAAGCAAAAACCCAAAAGAAGGCACCAUCUUAGAUAUGCAAUAGAGCUAUAUACUAGUUGCACCAUCUAUUAAGUUGUCUUUCUAAUUGUUGCAUCAAUGUUUCUCAAUUUAAAUACUCUUUUUGUGAAGCAAAAUUAAUAAAUAGUUGGUUUUCUAGAAAAUUUGCCAUAACAAAUGCUUGUUCUUGCUCAUAAUGGAUUUAGGAACUGAAAAUUGCUAAAAUUUCAUUUUCAAUCAAAUUACGGUACAUAGUGGCUGAUUCUAGGAUCCUUUCACCAAUUUAAAACUAUUUAACAUGAAUAAAGCUAAUUUAGUAUGAGGAUCCCUGAAUCAGUCACUAUCACAAUUUGAUUAGAAAUAAAAUUUUUGUAAUUUUUAGUUUCUGAAUUUAUUAUGAGCAAGAAUAAACAUCUAUUAUGGCAAUUUUUCUGGAAAAUUGGUUAUUUAUUAAUGUUGCUUCACAAAAUGAGUAUAUGAAUCGAGAAGCACUAAUGCAGCAAUUGGAAAGACAAAAUCAAUAAAUUACAUGCGAUAGAAAGUAGUCAACAAGUAGAUAUCUUUAUUACUUGCACAUCUAUGAUGGUGCCUUCUUUUGGGUUAUUGCAUGCUUAGUUUAAUGAAAAUGUAUGACACUUCUACAGGUAACCUUAAUAAAUAGUCGGUUUUCAAGAAAAAUUGUCAUAUCAAAUACCUAGUCUUGCUCAUACUGAACUCAGGAACGGAAAAUUACAAAAAUUUCAUUUCUUAUAAAAUUACGAUAAUGGUUGAUUCUAGGAUCCUUAUGCCAUUUUGAACUUAUCUAACAUGAAUAAAGAUAAUUUAGUGUAAGGAUCUUGGAAACAACCACUAUGGUAAUUUGAUUAGAAAUGAAAUUUCUGCAAUUUUCAAUUAUUGAAUUCAUUAUGAAAAAGAACAUGUCUCAGUUAUAGAAUUUUUUUUUUGAAAAAUCAACUAUUCAUUUUUGCUACCGAGCACAUGUACCGUACACUUUCAUUAGACCAAGCAUGUAAUAACCCAGAAGAAGACACCAUUUUAGAUGUGCAAGAAAUAGAGUUAUGUACUUGUUGACUACUUUCUAUCACAUGCAAUCUAUUAUAUUGUCUUUUCAAUUGUUGCAUCAAUUUUUCCUAGUUCAUGUACUCAUUUUGUUAAGCAGCAUUAAUAAAUAGUCGAUUUUUAGAAGAAGAAAAAAAUUGUCAUAAUAGAUGCAUGUUCUUGCUCGUAAUAAAUUUAGGAACUAAAAAUUGAAAAUUUCUCAUUUAUUAUCAAAUUAUGGUAGUGGAUGAUUCCAGUAUCCUUACGUCAGUUUGAACUUAUUUAACAUGAAUAAAGUUGAUUUAGUGCCAAGAUCCUAGAAUCAGUUACUAUCAUAAUUUGAUUAGAAAUGAAAUUUCUACAAUUUUUCAGUUCCUUAAUUCAUUAUGAACAAGAGCAAACAUAUGCUAUGACAAUUUUUUUGAAAAAUCAAUUAUUUAUUAAUGCUACUUCAAAAAAUGAGUAUAUGUGUUAAGUUUGGACGGCCCACUUAGUCACAACUAGACGAUCCAUCCUUGCUCAUGAUUUUGAUGAUUACAAAUAUAUAAAUUAUUGAAGGAAUGAUGAGUUAUUCUUAAGUAAAACAAGACUUACUACAUAUGAGCAAACCUGGUAAUAACUCUCUAUCUUAAUGCUCUUAUUAGUCAUGUUCAUUCACAACGGACCUUAGUUUUAUUAAAAGUAGCAUUCAGUGUCCAAUGGGCUAUUAUAAACUAGCAUCCACUCUGUUAUGAAAACUAGUGUCUAUACAUUGUGUUCUUUUAGUCAUGUCCAAUGGACCUAUUCACUUACAUAAACUGAAUUAUAUUAAGUAUAAGUGACAUCCAACCAUGUACUGAAUUCAUGUUAGCAAAAAAGAAAGGUACAUGAACUUAUCUUUAGUAAAUUCAUUUUGACUCUUUUAUUUUGAAUUACUAACAUUCGAAUUUCGAGUAAGAAAGGAUAGAAUAAAAGAAUUUUGAAAGAAUAUUCUUCCAAGUAGUUAGUGUUGUAAAGGAUGGAGCACAUGUUAUUGUUUAUACUUUUAUUCCUUCUCUCUCCAUGAGAACACAAUGUGUGUCAAUGCCUCUAGUUGUGAGACAAUGGUCUUAUCAAGGCAAGUGUUAAUCCUAUAACAAAUCUCUACACUAAAGUAUAUUAAAGCUCAAGCUCUGCUAUUAGAAACAAAAAGAACGAAAAGAAAAAUGAGAAAGUGAUAUUCAAAGUUAUCAUUUCUGUCAACACAGUGGAUGAUACCUUCCUUUCUUAAGUUGUUUAUUCUUUGCUUACCAAAGUUUUUUCAUUGUAUUCGAGCCUAAUUGUUUAUCCACUCUAUUGAGUAUUUUGAAUAUAUGAUUCAAUUAAUCAUUUGUUGUUUGUGAAAGUUAGGAGUGACUUAGUGUUAAAUAAUACUUGGGUGUUUUUAGAUUCAAGGGAAGUCUAAGGAGUGUGCCAGAAGUGGCCUAAAGAAUAUUGUUGUAACUAGGAGUGGCAGGACAUAAUACUUGUUGAAAACAAGUUUUGAUUAGUAGAAUCCUUUAUUGGUUUGUAAAAGAAAACUAGAUGUAGCUCUGUUUGAGUGAACCAGUAUAAACAUAAGUGUUUCUACUUCUCUCCAAAUUUAUUUGAUUAGUAUUCUGUUGUGCUUCCUUUUGACAUAUUUAUCACACAAGUCUACACUUGAAGAGCUUUGUGAAAACUCUAUUUAUUAGCAUUGGACAACAAUCCUUGUUUUGUUUUAAACAAGUAGUUUUUUCACUCAUUGGACGAUACACUCUAAGUCCGGUAUUUCAAUAUAUUUGUUUGUGAAAAUCAUAUUCUUUGCAAAGAGCUUUAAGUUUUAUCUAACACACUAUUCAAUUCCCCCUUCUAGGGUGAUAUUUUAUAUUUCAAUAUGAACCAGAAAACAUUGAUGCAGCAAUUGCGAAGACAACUGCAUAGAUUGCAUGUGAUAGAAAGCAUUCAACAAGUAGCUUUAUUACUUGCACAUCUAAUAUGGUGCCUUCUUUUGGGUUAUUGCAUGCUUGGUCUAAUGUAGGUGUAUGUUACAUUUAUUAGGUAGAAUAAUAAAUAGUCAGUUUUCCAAAAAAAAACUGCCAUAAUAGAUGUCUGUUCUAAUCAAAUCAUGAUAAUGGCUAAUUCCAUGAUCCUUACACUAGUUUAAACUUAUUUAACAUGAAUAAAGCUAAUUUAUUGUAACAGUCAUGGAAUUAGCCACAAUGGUAAUUUGAUUAGGAAUGAAAUUUCUACAAUUUUCAAUUCCUGAAUUCAUUAUGAACAAGGACAUGUCUAUCUUAUAGCAAUUUUUUUUUUUUGGAAAAUUGACUAUUUAUUUAUGCUACUUCAUACAUGUACCAUACACUUCCAUUAGACCAAGCGUGCAAUAACCUAGAAGUAGGCACCAUAAUAGAUGUGCAAGUAAUAGAGCUAUAUACUUAUUGACGGCUUUCUAUCGCAUGCAAUCUUUUGAGUUGUCUUUAUAAUUAUUGCAUCAAUGUUUCUUGGUUUAUAUACUGCUUUUGUAAAGUCACAUCAAUAAAUAGUCGAUUUUUCAAAAAAAAAUUGUCAUAAUAGAUGCUUGUUCUUGAUAAUAAUGAAUUAAGGAGCUAAAAAAUGCAUAAAAUUCAUUUCUAAUCAAAUUACGGUAAUUACUGAUUCUAGGAUCCUUACACUAGUUUAAAGUUAUUUAACAUGAAUAAAGCUAAUUUAGUGUAAGGAUCCUAGAAGCAACCACAUUCGUAAUUUGAUUAGAAAAGAAAUUUUUGCAAUUUUCAAUUCUUGAAUUCAUUAUGAACAAGAACAUGUCUUUGUUAUAGUAGUUUUUCCAGAAAAUCGACUAUUUAUUUAUGCUGUCUCACACAUGUAUCAUACACUUUCAUUAGACCAAGCAUGCAAUAAUGCAGAAGAAGGCACAAUCUUAGAUGUGCAAGUUAUAGAGCUAUUUAGUUGUUGACUGUCUUCUAUCGCAUGCAAUCUAUUGAGUUGUCUUUCAAUUGCUACAUCAAUGUUUCCUUGUUCAUAUACUCCUUCUCAUAAGCAACAUUAAUAAAUAAUUUUCCAAAAAAAUUUCUAUAACUGAUGCCUGCUCUUCCUGAUAAUGAAUUCAGGAACUAAAAAUUGUAGAAAAUUCAUUUCUAAUCAAAUUAUGGUAGUGGUUGAUUCCAAGGUCCUUGCACCAGUUUGAGAAAAACCUUACUUGAAUCAAAAUGACCCAACACUAACAAUCUUGACUAAGAUGAGACCGCAAGCGGCGCGUCAUGGUUACGCAACUUGAAAAGUUCACUCCUACCCAAGGGAUCAACUUGAGCUAUAAAGAGAUCAACACUGUAUAACAACCCCAAGGCCAAAGCUAGCUCCACAUGAACUCAUUCAUGGUCUACCCGAUUAAGCUCAACAACAAUGUUCAAAACUUAUACAUGUUCAUGAUGCAUAGGCAACACAAGUGCACAUGAUUUUACAUAAUUAUUAUCCAUAUGGAAGAUCCUACCUCAUAUAAGUUAGGUCCUCAUAACAUUCAAGUCAUCACACGUGUACCAUAGUGUCACUAUAUUCACAAAACAUAUAGCCAUCAUGUAUCAAAACAACGUCACAUUUUCAACACAAGUAUACAAGUUAACGGUCAUAGUGUUUCAUGGGUUUAAGAAAGCACACACACACACACUAUCCUCAUCCUCUCGCUUAUGCAAGGCUAUAAUUGCUUAAACACUUCGUUAGAAUCAAAGACAAGGAAAAUGUCCAGCCCCUAAAAAAUCUCAUGAUUUUGAUUAUAACAAAGAUAUUAAAGUUUGAUGGACUAAUGAGUUUACAUGAGUCAUGUAGAAAAAACAUGCCUCGAAUACUGAUAUAGGUAUAAUCUUUCCAACCUUAGACGCUAAAAAUGUUUUAAAUGAACCUGCAUCCAAAGCGCUAAAAUGGACUUUGUCCAAUGGUUUUAUAAAAUUACAUAGCAUCUAACAUGCUAGGAAAAGAAUUAUGUCUACUGCUUUAUAGAAAAUUCAGCGUGUAACUCAUUGCCUUCGUCCAAUGCCUAAUAGAAACUUACAUAGUGAUCUAUGUAUUUGAUUAAGUUUUUUGUUCAAAGAAGAAUCAUGUAAUGAACUUUAUGUUUUUGGAUGCUAAGGUUUCUUUGCUCUUAUAUUCCUUUAUUUAUAUUAUAUUCCUUCUAUAUUUUGUAUUUUCUCUUACGUUUGAAUUCCAAGCAUUUAAUGCAAAGUAGAAAGUUUGAGUAUAAGUACUACUCCUAAAUCUUGAUCAAAUAUGAGAGUAGAGGAGGAGAUAAUUUGCGGUGAAAAAAUGAUCAGAAAAAGUACAACUAUUUUUUAGAAACAUGACAAUACCUUUCAAGCAACAAGUUUUUCUCUCUCCUUUAUAGAAAUAGACAUGUCAAAAGCAAAAACUUGCCAUGCUCUCCUUGCAUGCAAUGAAGAUUGAUAGUAGGAAAAUUUCAAGGGUUUAGAUUUUACAAAAAAAUAAUAUUUCUCUCAUUUCCAAUAUAAAGACUAAAUGAAAAGACCUUGAAAGAACAACUUUUUUUUAACCAAAAUAUCAAGCAUCUUUGGACGAAACAUCCUCUGAUACUAAAAGUGCUUUGAAAGUUCAUCUUUGCAUUACAAUGUUUUGUAAUCAUAUGUUAAAUUUUUAUAUCCUUACUCUAUGAGUAGAUUCAUUGUAAUCUUCAAACUCUUUGUUGUUUGUGAAAGCCAAGAAUGGCUUAGUGUGAAAGAAUACUCAGUUUUUCAAUCUCAAAGGAAGAUUAUUGUUGUAAAACCAUGAGUAACUUAAAGAAUACUUGUUUGUAACCUUGAUUUGGUUAUUGGGACCCUUCUGAAGUUGGAAAAGAUACGAACGUAGUUCAGAUUGAGUGAGCCAUAAUAAAACUUGUGUUCUAUGUUUAACGCUUGUGCUCUUUCCUCACAUUUUUAGUGGAUGAAACCUAUUUUAGAACCUUGUUUAUAAAAUCAUGCUUUGUGAAUAGUUCCCCUUUUAGAGUGUUUUUAGUGAACAAAAAAAAUUUUCAAAGUUCACACACACACUAUUCAACCCUUCUUUAGUGUGUUUCUUUUAUUUUACACUUCCCCUUACUCAAGCGAACACCACUUCUUACUUGAACGAAUCUCUAUAGAGACUCACUUAGUCUUUCUUACACACUCUCCUUCAAGCAAGUACUUCUAGAGGCAAUCCUUAGCCUCUGUCAGCCCAUUCGAUUAAGCGAGAUUCCUAACUCGCUUAAGCAACAAGCGAUGAAAAAGAGCUUCAUGAUUAUGGGUUCUAGUGAACCCAAGCUUCCCAAAUCCUACAAUCUCAACAAAGCCCUAACUAUCUAAGUUCAUUCCUACAACAAAAGAAGAUCCCCCAACAUAGAAAAACAACCCAAUUAUAAUCAAUCAUGUGCAAAUCAUAAUUUCCCAAUUCAACCAAAUUCAUCAAUUCAAACAAAAAUUAAGAAUGCUUUGAGGUGUUAAUAACAAUCCAAUAUCAAAGGAAGGUAAACAAUACAAUUACUUGGAGUUUAAGAGCAAAUCCUCUACCCGUGUUGAACAAAAAAUAAAAUAAUUAUGCCUUUUCUGCACAAACACAAAAGGCUUAUAAUAUUUUUCCCAUAAGCUUUUUCUUGACUAUCAAAAUUAUCUUAGGAGCAAGGAAACUCUCUUCUCAAACUUGGAAAUAUUUAAAGUAAUAAUGAGCACAAGAAAUAUACUAUGAGAAGUUGCUUCUCAAAACUACUUUGUAAAUACAUAGGUUCUGGUGUGCCUCAAAAAUUACUACUGUUCAAACCCAUAUGAAACUCAAAAUGACCAAAUUGAGGUAUUUUUCCUACAUCUCCCAUUUAGGUCCCUACACCUCCCAAAAAGCCUCAAAUGAUCAAAAAUACCCUCAGCCCUUGCACCUCCUCUUCCCUACCAAUCCCUAUGUCGCCUAAGCACCUUCUUCCAUGCCAAUUAUUGUGUUGUCGUCAUCUUUUACCAACAAGAUCUGAUCCUCCACCAUGAGAGAGGUUGUUGACUUCAAAUUUCACAAUGGAAUCAUGAUUUGGUUCUUAGGACGGUUGUGCGCAAAGCAUAUCAGGACCCAUAGCCACGCGCAAGGGAACAAAAGGUACAAGAUGCAAGCACAAGUGUCGCAAUAGUGUGAUUCUAACUUAACGACAAUCACAUGCGACAAUGUCAUGGUCGCGCACGCGAUAGAGGACAAAGAUUGCAUGAUAGUGAAAGUGGUUUGUGGAAAUAGAAACCCAAUUGAAAUCCCAAACCAUUUUUACCCUUGCAAGCGUUCAUAGAUUAGAGAAUCAUGGGAUACUCAAGACUUAUAUUGAGGUUGGGGGGUCCUACUACCUAUUACGACAGACUAUUCCAGAAUAGGAUACUCUUCUGGAACACCUAUUCCAAAAUAUAAUUUUUUGUAUUCCGGAACACCUAUUUUGAGGUAGGUUUUCAA